rnacentral:rRNA from 1 species
CCUACGGGGGGCAGCAGUGGGGGAUAUUGCACAAUGGGGGGAACCCUGAUGCAGCGACGCCGCGUGAGUGAAGAAGUAAUUCGUUAUGUAAAGCUCUAUCAGCAGGGAAGAAUAAAUGACGGUACCUGAGUAAGAAGCCCCGGCUAACUACGUGCCAGCAGCCGCGGUAAUACGUAGGGGGCAAGCGUUAUCCGGAUUUACUGGGUGUAAAGGGAGCGUAGACGGCGAUGCAAGCCAGAUGUGAAAGCCCGCGGCUCAACUGCGGUAGUGCAUUUGGAACUGUAUGGCUGGAGUGCAGGAGAGGCAGGCGGAAUUCCUAGUGUAGCGGUGAAAUGCGUAGAUAUUAGGAGGAACACCAGUGGCGAAGGCGGCCUGCUGGACUGUAACUGACGUUGAGGCU